UGAGAAUAGAGCAUUGCGUCUUUAAUUUUUCAAUUCCAAUUAUUAAACCACACUCUCGUCAUAGUCUUUAUAAAAAUAGAAUUAUUUAUUUUUUUUAGAAAUAUUUACUUUUUAGAAAUAUUUACUUUCCACAAUUUUUCAUUGUCCUUACAAGCUGAAAUCUCGCACAUAAACUCAGAAAGAUAUCGUGAUUGAUUAUUGAAUCAAUAUUUGUGUAUGUGUAUUUAUCAUUAGAGCCCAGUGCUUCAUCUAUGAGACUCAGAGGAAAUUCUAUUGUUUUUAUUG